UACGGAGGGGGCUAGCGUUGUUCGGAAUUACUGGGCGUAAAGCGCACGUAGGCGGCUUUGUAAGUUAGAGGUGAAAGCCCGGAGCUCAACUCCGGAAUUGCCUUUAAGACUGCAUCGCUCGAAUCAUGGAGAGGUGAGUGGAAUUCCCAGUGUAGAGGUGAAAUUCGUAGAUAUUGGGAAGAACACCGGUGGCGAAGGCGGCUAUCUGGACGGUUUCUGACGCUAAGACGCGAAAGCGUGGGGAGCAAACAGG
rnacentral:rRNA from 1 species